AGUGAACGCUGGCGGUAGGCCUAACACAUGCAAGUCGAACGGCAGCACAGUAAGAGCUUGCUCUUACGGGUGGCGAGUGGCGGACCGGUGAGGAAUACAUCGGAAUCUACUUUUUCGUGGGGGGUAACGUAGGGAAACUUACGCUAAUACCGCAUACGACCUACGGGUGAAAGCAGGGGAUCUUCGGACCUUGCGCGAUUGAAUGAGCUGAUGUCGGAUUAGCUAGUUGGCGGGGUAAAGGCCCACCAAGGCGACGAUCCGUAGCUGGUCUGAGAGGAUGAUCAGCCACACUGGAACUGAGACACGGUCCAGACUCCUACGGGAGGCAGCAGUGGGGAAUAUUGGACAAUGGGCGCAAGCCUGAUCCAGCCAUACCGCGUGGGUGAAGAAGGCCUUCGGGUUGUAAAGCCCUUUUGUUGGGAAAGAAAAGCAGCAGGUUAAUACCCCGCUGUUCUGACGGUACCCAAAGAAUAAGCACCGGCUAACUUCGUG
rnacentral:rRNA from 1 species